rnacentral:rRNA from 1 species
AUGCAGUUCUCGCUUUCCAACAAGCGGACUGCCAAGGAGGCUUGGGACGCCAUCGCCGCAGCACGCAUCGGCAGCGACCGUGCUCGCAAGUCCACCCUGCAGGCACUUCGUAAGGAGUGGGAGAACCUGGGCUUCAAGCCAGGUGAGGACGUUGAUGACUUUGCUCUCCGUCUCAACACUCUGCUGCAGAAGAUGGUGAAGUUUGGCGAUGCCACCUACACCGAGGAGAGAGCUGUCGAGAAGCUUUUUCGGUGCAUUCCCGAGAAGUACAAGCAGAUGGCUCGCUCGAUCGAGUCGUUGCUGGACCUCUCCACGAUGACGAUCGAGGAGGCGAUAGGUCGACUCAAGGUCGUCGACACCGACGAGCCACAGCCCCCCUCGGGGCCCGUCACCACCGGCGGGAAGCUGCUCCUAACUCGGGAGCAGUGGGAUCCCAGCCUUGGUGACAAGAAGGGGGAGCCUUCCUCCUCGACGGGCGGCCGCGCUUUCAUCCACCUCGAUGAGCCAAAAGCACAUGCUCUUCUCGGCGAUGGCUCCGGGAAGGACAAGGCUACGGGGUGGUGCCUCGACACCGGCGCCACCCACCACAUGACCGGUCGAAGGGAAUUCUUCGCCGAGCUCGACUCCGAUGCGCGAGGCUCCGUCAAGUUCGGGGAUGCCUCCGCUGUGGAGAUAAAGGGCGUCGGCUCCGUCAUCUUCACCACCAAGAUGGGAGAGCACCGGCUGCUCACCGGUGUCUACUACAUCCCCGCGCUAAGGAAUUCCAUCAUCAGCUUGGGACAGCUGGAUGAGAACGGCUCACGCGUGCUGAUUGAGCAUGGGGUCCUACGCAUCUGGGAUCGCCAGCGUCGCCUUCUCGCCAAGGUGCCCAGAGGUGAAAAUCGACUCUACGUCCUUGAUGUGCAGGUGGCACAACCGGUCUGUCUCGCUGUCCGUCGAGACGACGAGGCGUGGCAGUGGCAUGAGCGCUUUGGGCACCUUCACUUUGAGGCCCUGAAGCGUCUAAGUGCUAAGGAGAUGGUGCGAGGCCUGCCAUGCCUCGACCAUGUGGAGCAGUUCUGCGACAUCUGCGUACUGACAAAGCAGAGACGACUCCCCUUUCCCCAACAGGCGAGUUUUCGGGCUAAGGAGAAGCUGGAGCUCAUGCACGGAGACCUGUGCGGCCCGGUGACGCCAGCCACACCAGGAGGUCGACUAAGGGAGAAGCGGCGGACGCCAUCAGGCGCGCGCAGGUUGGUGUGGAGGCGGAGAGCGGCCGCAAAUUGCGCGUGUUGCGCACUGACAACGGCGGCGAGUUCACGGCGGUUGAAUUCGCGUCGUACUGCGCCGAUGAGGGCAUCCAGCGCCACUACUACGCGCCGUACAGCCCGCAGCAAAACGGCGUCGUCGAGCGGCGCAACCAGACGGUUGUGGGGAUGGCUCGGGCUCUCCUCAAGCAGAGAGGGAUGCCGGCUGUCUUCUGGGGAGAGGCGGUGCUAA